CAACAGUUCAGCGUCAAAAGGGCUGCCAGCUCAGGUCAAAAAUCCCAGGGUGGGAAAGCUGAAGCACUCAGCCAGCCACUCGCACUUAACUGCGGCUUAAGAACAAUCCGCUCCCGGAAGUGGCUGUUGUCUGGGCAACUCAAACACGGACUACGCCGCGGGGCGUAGAGAGUCUCAAUAGAGUCUCCUCGGGCCCGAGAUUCCACCCAGGGAGAUGGCGAAUUGAGGCCGGGGUUGCUAGGUCGGGAAUGAAUGGGGUAGUGGGGACCAAAGGAACCAAGUUCUUCAACACCCUCCUCUCUGCAACCCCAAAGUCUAGCGGUGGCUUCCGUCGCUCCUGGCUUCCACUUCCGGAAACGCCUCUUCACUGCUUCCGGCCUGGGGAAAUUUGCAGCUGGCGAGAAGGACGCAUCGCCCGCAGUUCCCCCCUGUAAUCGCUGGUCUGGUUUUCGGGAUCCAGGGGAUAGGGCAAGGGCCAGUACUUAUUUGUCCAGGCUGAGUCAAAUUCGCACAUUUAGGAUAGCUCAAGUAGCUGCUGCCAAAGUGACCUUUCACAAAGUGUUCAGCUUGUCAGUGCUACGCCAGUGAGCUCGGUGACUUUACUUGCUGUUGCAUUUCCUGACUUCUGGCUCUUACCUGGUCAGCGGAUGACUGGCAUGCUGGAAGUCAUGCAGGAUUAUCCCCAUAAACAAUCAUUUUGUAUGCAAUCAGUGGAAACUUCUCCUGUGAGAGGACAACGGCCUCUGUGACCAUAGGAUUUUGGACCACCGCGGUGACAGCACUGUUUCCUGUGAGACCCUGAGGAGGUCACUUAGCAGUCUGACAGUUUUUACUUUGGUGGAGCCCAAACCAUCUAAAGUGACCCAGUAAUGACUGCAAUCAUUAGAAAUAUAUAAUGAAUAUCUAGGCAGAAAAGAACUACUACCUGCACCAAGAGGAACUAAGAAUUAUUCUGUCUACUGAAAAUCAUCUACCAUGCUAAUGUCCAUGACUUGAUCUUUC
rnacentral:lncRNA from 1 species